rnacentral:lncRNA from 1 species
GAUCUAGGGAUGGUUGGCAUGAGAAACAUUGAAGAAAACCAUCUCACACAAAAAGGUACAUGUUCAUUUUGUUCAAAAAAAAAUCAUUGCAAAUCAAGUUCAUCUAAAUAAAUCGUAUUACAAUGAGAAGGAAAGCACAAAAUGCAAGCUUGAUCGAUGUUUUCGAUGCAAAGUUGGACUUUGUUUGGUGGAAUCCUUGAUGAUGAAAUUUUCUUGACAGCAAUUGGUCUCCACUGAAGGACAUUGAGGAUGGCAUAAUCGAUUCCCUCAUCAAAAAAUCGUCUAUCUUCUAAAUAUUCCUUCUAGGAGGUUCUGAAAGCUAACUUGGGGG